GAUGAACGCUAGCUACAGGCUUAACACAUGCAAGUCGAGGGGUAACAAGAGAAAAGCUUGCUUUUCUUGUUGACGACCGGCGCACGGGUGAGUAACGCGUAUCCAACCUGCCUAUAACUAGGGAAUAACCUUGCGAAAGUAAGACUAAUACCCUAUGAUUUCCUUUGAUGACAUCAAAUUAGGAAUAAAGAUUUAUCGGUUAUAGAUGGGGAUGCGUCUGAUUAGCUUGUUGGCGGGGUAACGGCCCACCAAGGCAACGAUCAGUAGGGGGUCUGAGAGGAAGGUCCCCCACAUUGGAACUGAGACACGGUCCAAACUCCUACGGGAGGCAGCAGUGAGGAAUAUUGGUCAAUGGGCGGAAGCCUGAACCAGCCAAGUAGCGUGCAGGAUGACGGCCCUAUGGGUUGUAAACUGCUUUUAUACAGGAAUAAAGUUAGCCACGUGUGGUUAUUUGUAGGUACUGUAUGAAUAAGGACCGGCUAAUUCCGUGCCAGCCGCCGCAGUAA
rnacentral:rRNA from 1 species